GGGAGGAUCACUUGAGACCAAGAGUUUGAGGCUACAGUGAGCCAAGAUCAUACCACUUUACUCCAGUCAAGGUGACAGUGCAAGAUGCUCUCUCUAAACAAAUAAAUAAAUAAAAGAUUCUUACAGGUUGAUUUGCUAGGCGAUGGAAAUACAUUUUUAAAGUAUUAUAGAGACAUUUUUAAUUUAGUAGGGGAUCAAGAAUACAUGGAUGUUCUAAUAGAAUCGCUAGGAAAAAAAAUGGUUAGAAAUUAGGAAAGUUAGAAAAAGUAAUAUAUGACUAUAUUGAGGAGGUGGAGAUGGCAGAGGGAUGAUUGAGAACGCAGGAGGUCAACUAGGAAAGUUCAGGGUGCUAUAGGCCAAGAGCAGAUCCAUUCUAUAGGCCAGAGUUCUUUGAUGAUGUCUGUGACUGAUUGAAAUGCUACAGGCUGAAUAUGGUGGCUCUUGCCUGUAAUCCCAG